rnacentral:rRNA from 1 species
GACGAACGCUGGCGGCGUGCUUAACACAUGCAAGUCGAACGGAAAGGCCCUGCUUUUGUGGGGUGCUCGAGUGGCGAACGGGUGAGUAACACGUGAGUAACCUGCCCUUGACUUUGGGAUAACUUCAGGAAACUGGGGCUAAUACCGGAUAGGAGCUCCUGCUGCAUGGUGGGGGUUGGAAAGUUUCGGCGGUUGGGGAUGGACUCGCGGCUUAUCAGCUUGUUGGUGGGGUAGUGGCUUACGAAGGGUUUGACGGGUAGCCGACCUGAGAGGGUUACCGGCGACAUGGGGACUGAGAUACGGACCAGACUCCUACGGGAGGCAGAAGUGGGGAAUAUUGCGCAAUGGGCGGGAGCCAGAUGCAGCAACGCCGCGUGCGGGAUAACGGCCUUCGGGUUGUAAACCGCUUUCGCCUGUGACGAAGCGUGAGUGACGGUAAUGGGUAAAGAAGCACCGGCUAACUACGUG